UACGAAAGGUGCAAGCGUUACUCGGAAUCACUGGGCGUAAAGCGCACGUAGGCGGACUCGUAGGUCAGUUGUGAAAUACCUGGGCUCAACCCGGGAACUGCAGCUGAAACCGCUUGUCUUGAAUACCUGAGAGGGUGGGGGAAUACCUGGUGGAGAAGUGAAAUUCGCAGAGAUCAGGUGGAACACCGGAGGCGAAGGCGCCUGCCUGGCAGUGUAUUGACGCUGAGGUGCGAAAGUGCGGGGAGCAAACAGG
rnacentral:rRNA from 1 species